rnacentral:rRNA from 1 species
AGUGAACGCUGGCGGUAGGCCUAACACAUGCGAGUCGAACGGCAGCACAGUAAGAGCUUGCUCUUACGGGUGGCGAGUGGCGGACGGGUGAGGAAUACAUCGGAAUCUACUUUUUCGUGGGGGAUAACGUAGGGAAACUUACGCUAAUACCGCAUACGACCUACGGGUGAAAGCAGGGGAUCUUCGGACCUUGCGCGAUUGAAUGAGCCGAUGUCGGAUUAGCUAGUUGGCGGGGUAAAGGCCCACCAAGGCGACGAUCCGUAGCUGGUCUGAGAGGAUAAUCAGCCACACUGGAACUGAGACACGGUCCAGACUCCUACGGGAGGCAGCAGUGGGGAAUAUUGGACAAUGGGCGCAAGCCUGAUCCAGCCAUACCGCGUGGGUGAAGAAGGCCUUCGGGUUGUAAAGCCCUUUUGUUGGGAAAGAAAAGCAGCAGGUUAAUACCCCGCUGUUCUGACGGUACCCAAAGAAUAAGCACCGGCUAACCUCGUG